ACGUACAUGCACGGGAGCUGCAAAGCUGAGAGGGAGACGAAAGUCUCCGACCGUUGAACGUGACGCGGUUAGUACCGUCGAACGGAGUCAUCGAUUUCUCGCAU
rnacentral:ncRNA from 1 species